UGGGGAAUUUUGGACAAUGGGCGAAAGCCUGAUCCAGCAAUGCCGCGUGUGUGAAGAAGGCCUUCGGGUUGUAAAGCACUUUUGUCCGGAAAGAAAUCCUUGGCUCUAAUACAGUCGGGGGAUGACGGUACCGGAAGAAUAAGCACCGGCUAACUACGUGCCAGCAGCCGCGGUAAUACGUAGGGUGCAAGCGUUAAUCGGAAUUACUGGGCGUAAAGCGUGCGCAGGCGGUUUGCUAAGACCGAUGUGAAAUCCCCGGGCUCAACCUGGGAACUGCAUUGGUGACUGGCAGGCUAGAGUAUGGCAGAGGGGGGUAGAAUUCCACGUGUAGCAGUGAAAUGCGUAGAGAUGUGGAGGAAUACCGAUGGCGAAGGCAGCCCCCUGGGCCAAUACUGACGCUCAUGCACGAAAGCGUGGGGGAGCAAACAGGAUUAGAUACCCUGGUAGUCCACGCCCUAAACGAUGUCAACUAGUUGUUGGGGACUUCAUUUUCCUUAGUAACGUAGCUAACGCGUGAAGUUGACCGCCUGGGGAGUACGGUCGCAAGAUUAAAACUC
rnacentral:rRNA from 1 species